AGUGAACGCUGGCGGUAGGCCUAACACAUGCAAGUCGAACGGCAGCACAGUAAGAGCUUGCUCUUACGGGUGGCGAGUGGCGGACGGGUGAGGAAUACAUCGGAAUCUACUUUUUCGUGGGGGAUAACGUAGGGAAACUUACGCUAAUACCGCAUACGACCUACGGGUGAAAGCAGGGGAUCUUCGGACCUUGCGCGGUUGAAUGAGCCGAUGUCGGAUUAGCUAGUUGGCGGGGUAAAGGCCCACCAAGGAGACGAUCCGUAGCUGGUCUGAGAGGAUGAUCAGCCACACUGGAACUGAGACACGGUCCAGACUCCUACGGGAGGCAGCAGUGGGGAAUAUUGGACAAUGGGCGCAAGCCUGAUCCAGCCAUACCGCGUGGGUGAAGAAGGCCUUCGGGUUGUAAAGCCCUUUUGUUGGGAAAGAAAAGCAGCAGGUUAAUACCCCGCUGUUCUGACGGUACCCAAAGAAUAAGCACCGGCUAACUUCGUG
rnacentral:rRNA from 1 species